GGUAAAGUAUAGAGAGAGAGGGAGAGAUUCACCACUAGCCUUCAAUAAAUCAUUUCUCUCCCAAAAUGGCAAACAACUGUUAAAAUGUUGCAGCAUUGUAUCUUAUAUGCAUUUUAGUUUCUGUGGUAGCUUUUCAGUUAUGUAAAGCGGAUAGCGACCUUCAAGAAGGAGACGUUUAUAAACAGUGUUUGAAAGAACGCGAUGACAAAUGCAAAGCAGAUGGAUACGGUGAAGCUUUUGUCAUACAAAAUGUUCUAAACCUUGUGAAUACCAGCAAAAAGAUGCAAACGUAAAAGAGAAAAACACCGCAAUCAAGGACACAGCAACUUACCUUCGCAGAAGUAUCAGUAAGGCAACAACGAACCGUGUACAAAGUACUGAUGCCGGCUUAGUUGCAUUGUUUGGCAUCUUCAUGUUGGCCUUGUAUAAUUAAUUGAGUUGAUGCAUAAGGUGAUACGGAUGACAAUAACAAGCUCGAUCUUCUGGACAUCAGAUUUAUGUGUCGACGUACUGUUGCACUUCUUAAAAAAAUAGCUAGCUAGAAGUUUAGACUGUUAUCUUGCUACUUCAUUAAUUGUAUCUUCUUUGAGUUUUUUGCCAGACAUGUAACUGUAUAAACUAUGAUUUGGUUCUUCCAGUUCUGGUAGUACUCCAUCAAUUUCUCAUUGUUGAGUCUGUUAUACGUACAUUAUUGGUACGGUUUGCAUGGACAGUAGGGUAUACUACAUAUAUGUAUUCUUAUGUACGUA